rnacentral:lncRNA from 1 species
CUCAGAGACUCAGGAAUUAACACCAAAUUUAAAUAGGAAUUUAGAAAAUUUACAAAUACUUUAGUGUUAUGAUAGAGACAGUCUUGGACUAGGAAUCAGAAGCUGAAAUUUAAAAUAGCUUUUUUUGCAGCUGACAAACCCUUGGCUAAGUCUGAGCUUCAUUUUUGUGGUCCAAAAAAUAAAAGUAAUAAUUUGCCUCUCCUGCUAAUGAGUGAUAAGGACGUGGACUAUUUUCAUGAUACCAUGAGGUAAGAGCAAGUUUGUUGGGACUAAAAGUGAAUUGGGUUUUGAGAAAUCAAUUGCUCAUUGAUU